GGAUCGAUGAUGAGUCCCUAAAAAUGCAUUCCUUGGAAAAGCUGAACAAAAUGAGUGAGAACUCCAACCGUCGUUCUCAUCGGAUCUGAGGUCC